GACGAACGCUGGCGGCAGGCCUAACACAUGCAAGUCGAGCGGAGCGGCGGACGGGUGAGUAAUGCCUAGGAAUCUGCCUGGUCGUGGGGGAUAACGUCAGGAAACGGGCGCUAACACCGCACACUAUAAGAUGAGCCUAGGUCGGAUUAGCUAGUUGUUGGGGUAAAGGCCUACCAAGGCGACGAUCCGUAACUGGGUUGAGUGGAUGAUCAGUCACACUGGAACUGAGACACGGUCCCGACUCCUACGGUAGGCAGCAGUGGGGAUUAUUGGACAAUGGGCGAAAGCCUGAUCCAGCCAUGCCGCGUGUGUGAAGAAGGUCUUCGGAUGGUAAAGCACUUUAAGUUGGGAGGCGUUACCAACAGAAUAAGCACCGGCUAACUUCGUGCCAGCAGCCGCGGUAAUAC
rnacentral:rRNA from 1 species